rnacentral:rRNA from 1 species
UACGGAGGGUGCAAGCGUUAAUCGGAAUUACUGGGCGUAAAGCGUGCGCAGGCGGUUUGUUAAGUCUGCUGUGAAAUCCCCGAGCUCAACUUGGGAAUUGCAGUGGAUACUGGCAAGCUGGAGUACGGUAGAGGAAGGUGGAAUUCCCGGUGUAGCAGUGAAAUGCGUAGAGAUCGGGAGGAACACCAGUGGCGAAGGCGGCCUUCUGGACCAGUACUGACGCUCAUGCACGAAAGCGCGGGGAGCAAACAGG